UACGUAGGGGGCAAGCGUUGUCCGGAUUUAUUGGGCGUAAAGCGCGCGUAGGCGGCCACUUAAGUCGGAUGUGAAAGCUCCUGGCUCAACUGGGGAAGUGCACCCGAAACUGAAUGGCUUGAGUGCGAAAGAGGGUCGCGGAAUUCCCGGUGUAGAGGUGAAAUUCGUAGAUAUCGGGAGGAACACCGGUGGCGAAGGCGGCGACCUGGGUCGACACUGACGCUGAGGCGCGAAAGCGUGGGGAGCAAACAGG
rnacentral:rRNA from 1 species